UACGGAGGGUGCGAGCGUUGUCCGGAAUCACUGGGCGUAAAGGGCGCGUAGGCGGCCUGAUAAGUAGGGGGUGAAAUCCUGCGGCUUAACCGCAGGGCUGCCUUCUAAACUGUCAGGCUCGAGCACAGUAGAGGCAGGUGGAAUUCCCGGUGUAGCGGUGGAAUGCGUAGAGAUCGGGAAGAACAUCAGUGGCGAAGGCGGCCUGCUGGGCUGCUGCUGACGCUGAGGCGCGACAGCGUGGGGAGCAAACAGG
rnacentral:rRNA from 1 species